rnacentral:lncRNA from 1 species
UCAUCUUCUGAAUCAAUUUCGGUCUCUUCUUCUGAAUCCUUCGGAAUUCUAAUCUUGACUCCGGUAGCCUGUCUUUUGAGCCUUCUCCCCGGAUUAAUAUAACCCACAGGUUUCUGGUCCUUCUUCUUCUCUAUCAAGAGAGCCUUCAGUUCUUCUUGCCCCUUGGACAAGCUCAGCAUCAUCUCCUGGAAUUGAGCAUUCUGAGCCUGGAGAUCUUUGACAGUUUGUUCGAGAGCCAUUUUUCUGUUUUGAAUCUGCUUGAAUCUGUUUGCAA